GUCUUCGUGGUGUAGUGGUCAGCACGCUGGGCGCGCAUUCCAGAGGUCCGUGGUUCGAUUCCCGGCGAAAGGCG
rfam:Stegodyphus mimosarum contig19432, whole genome shotgun sequence.